rnacentral:rRNA from 1 species
GAUGAACGCUGGCGGCGUGCCUAAUACAUGCAAGUCGAGCGAAUGGAUUAAGAGCUUGCUCUUAUGAAGUUAGCGGCGGACGGGUGAGUAACACGUGGGUAACCUGCCCAUAAGACUGGGAUAACUCCGGGAAACCGGGGCUAAUACCGGAUAAUAUUUUGAACUGCAUGGUUCAAAAUUGAAAGGCGGCUUCGGCUGUCACUUAUGGAUGGACCCGCGUCGCAUUAGCUAGUUGGUGAGGUAACGGCUAACCAAGGCAACGAUGCGUAGCCGACCUGGGAGGGUGAUAGGCCACACGGUGACUGAGACACGGCCCAGACUCCUACGGGAGGCAGCAGUAGGGAAUCUUCCGCAAUGGUCGAAAGUCUGACGGAGCAACGCCGCGUGAGUGAUGAAGGCUUUCGGGUCGUAAAACUCUGUUGUUAGGGAAGAACAAGUGCUAGUUGAAUAAGCUGGCACCUUGACGGUACCUAACCAGAAAGCCACGGCUAACUACGUGCCAGCCGCCGCGGUAA